UACGUAGGGGGCUAGCGUUGUCCGGAAUCAUUGGGCGUAAAGCGCGUGUAGGCGGUCCGGUAAGUCCGCUGUGAAAGUCGGGGGCUCAACCCUCGAAUGCCGGUGGAUACUGUCGGGCUAGAGUGCGGAAGAGGCGAGUGGAAUUCCUGGUGUAGCGGUGAAAUGCGCAGAUAUCAGGAGGAACACCGAUGGCGAAGGCAAUCCCCUGGACCUGUACUGACGCUCAUGCACGAAAGCGUGGGGAGCAAACAGG
rnacentral:rRNA from 1 species